UGGCAAUGAGUAUGUGUGCAUGAUGCAUGACGAAGAUAUAAAGGAACGUUUGAAACAGCUGGUCAAUGAAGCGAUGUAAACAAAAUGAUUCGUUACUCGAAGGGGUAAAAAUCAGUCAUGCAUGCAAACAAAUAAAACAAUCUAUGUGAAUUAGUUGUUGUAAUGAAAGGAUAAAAAAUAUUUAAAUAUUUCAUUUACUUCACAAUUCGAUAUCAUUCAGUUAUUGUUCGAUCACAGUGGUUCGAUAAGUUAAAAAACAGAGGAUUUAUUAGUAUAAAGUUUGCUUAAGGCUCAAGGAUUCUAGAUUUCUAGUGGAACCAGAAGAGGAGAAUAGGGGAUUUAGCACGCACAUUUGAUUUGGUAAUUUCAAGUGUCUGGCGUCUUAUGAAAGCAUCGAAUGGCGGUUGCCAAGGGGUCCGGCACAAAACUUUGCCUACGGAAACAACACUCUCGAUGUUAAUAUGACUAUCGUCAGUCAGUACAAGGCUGUCCUAUGCUGUGUUUAAAGAGCAAGGCCGGCCACUCAGCGACUAUUGGCUGAGUGGCUGAUGUUAAUGUUCACAGGUGUAGAGACAUACCCCCUGUGGCAUACCGAAGCGCUGCAUAUUAAAAUCGACAGGGCCAACAACCUAAGGCACAAGUGUUGCGACGUGCACGGCCAGUUGAAACAUCAUAUUCGUUCCGAAGAUGAAUCGUUUGGUUCUUGCGCUAUUCUUUGUCUUCUUUGUUGCCCUUUUUUCAACUACAGAGUCUGGUUUCGGAUUUCAAGGGACCAGACGUUAUAGACCGGCAAGACGCCCUGUUUUUAAAAACCAGAAAGCUGAAGGACCAGUGCAUUACGCAGAAAACAAUUGUGAGGAAGAGGGCAGUGCAACUUACAACAUGGCGUUAAAGGGAAAAAGAUGACUGCGUCUUCCGGAUGAUUUUGUGUUCAAGGACCUGAAAAGACCUAAAAAAAUUGAUUGAUUUUGUGAACGCAUGUGCGAUUGUCAAUUUUUUAUGAAAUCUUUAUAUAAAAUUAAGCAUUCCUGGGAGAAAAAACAUGUAUCACAAAUAAAAUUUCGCACAAAUGGAAAUGGACACCAUUGUUUGUCAUCUGUCUGAAAGCUACUAUGCCACGUCUGCAU